GGGCCCGCACAAGCAGCGGAGCGUGUGGUUUAAUUCGAUGUUACACGAAGAACCUUACCAGGGUUUGACAUGCAAGUGGUAGGAAGCCGAAAGGUGACCGACCCUUCGGGGAGCUUGCACAGGUGCUGCAUGGCUGUCGUCAGCUCGUGUCGUGAGAUGUUCGGUUAAGUCCGCUAACGAGCGCAACCCUCGUCGUAUGUUAUAUGUGUCAUACGAGACUGCCGGUAAAAAGCCGGAGGAAGGUGAGGAUGAUGUCAAGUCAGCAUGACCUUUAUAUCCAGGGCUACACACACGCUACAAUGGUCUGUACAAUGGGUAGCCAAGCCGCGAGGCGGAGCCAAUCCUGAAAGCAGGCCUCAGUUCAGAUUGCAGUCUGCAACUCGACUGCAUGAAGCCGGAGUUGCUAGUAACCGCAGGUCAGCAAUACUGCGGUGAAUACGUUCCCGGGUCUU
rnacentral:rRNA from 1 species